GACGAACGCUGGCGGCGUGCCUAAUACAUGCAAGUAGGACGCAGUUGCGAACGGGUGAGUAACGCGUAGGUAACUGCCUAUUAGAGGGGGAUAACUAUUGGAAACGAUAGCUAAUACCGCAUACUAGUAGAUGGACCUUCGUUGUAUUAGCUAGUAGGGAGGGUAAUUGCCUACCUAGGCAACGAUACAUAGCCGACCUGGGAGGGGGAUCGGCCAAACCGGGAAUGAGACAAGGGCCGGAAUCCUACGGGAGGCAGCAGUAGGGAAUCUUCGGCAAUGGGGGGAACCCUGACCGAGCAACGCCGCGGGAGUGAAGAAGGUUUUCGGAUCGGAAAGCUCUGUUGUUAAGGAAGCGGUACUUAACCAGAAAGGGACGGCUAACUACGUGCCAGCAGCCGCGGUAAUUC
rnacentral:rRNA from 1 species